rnacentral:rRNA from 1 species
GACGAACGCUGGCGGCGUGCUUAACACAUGCAAGUCGAACGGAAAGGCCCUGCUUUUGUGGGGUGCUCGAGUGGCGAACGGGUGAGUAACACGUGAGUAACCUGCCCUUGACUUUGGGAUAACUUCAGGAAACUGGGGCUAAUACCGGAUAGGAGCUCCUGCUGCAUGGUGGGGGUUGGAAAGUUUCGGCGGUUGGGGAUGGACUCGCGGCUUAUCAGCUUGUUGGUGGGGUAGUGGCUUACCAAGGCUUUGACGGGUAGCCGGCCUGAGAGGGUGACCGGCCACAUUGGGACUGAGAUACGGCCCAGACUCCUACGGGAGGCAGCAGUGGGGAAUAUUGCACAAUGGGCGGAAGCCUGAUGCAGCAACGCCGCGUGCGGGAUGACGGCCUUCGGGUUGUAAACCGCUUUCGCCUGUGACGAAGCGUGAGUGACGGUAAUGGGUAAAGAAGCACCGGCUAACUACGUGCCAGCAGCCGCGGUGAUACGUAGGGUGCGAGCGUUGUCCGGAUUUAUUGGGCGUAAAGGGCUCGUAGGUGGUUGAUCGCGUCGGAAGUGUAAUCUUGGGGCUUAACCCUGAGCGUGCUUUCGAUACGGGUUGACUUGAGGAAGGUAGGGGAGAAUGGAAUUCCUGGUGGAGCGGUGGAAUGCGCAGAUAUCAGGAGGAACACCAGUGGCGAAGGCGGUUCUCUGGGCCUUUCCUGACGCUGAGGAGCGAAAGCGUGGGGAGCGAACAGGCUUAGAUACCCUGGUAGUCCACGCUGUAAACGGUGGGUACUAGGUGUGGGGUCCAUUCCACGGGUUCCGUGCCGUAGCUAACGCUUUAAGUACCCCGCCUGGGGAGUACGGCCGCAAGGCUAAAACUCAAAGGAAUUGACGGGGCCCCGCACAAGCGGCGGAGCAUGCGGAUUAAUUCGAUGCAACGCGUAGAACCUUACCUGGGUUUGACAUGGAUCGGGAGUGCUCAGAGAUGGGUGUGCCUCUUUUGGGGUCGGUUCACAGGUGGUGCAUGGCUGUCGUCAGCUCGUGUCGUGAGAUGUUGGGUUAAGUCCCGCAACGAGCGCAACCCUUGUUCACUGUUGCCAGCACGUUAUGGUGGGGACUCAGUGGAGACCGCCGGGGUCAACUCGGAGGAAGGUGGGGAUGACGUCAAGUCAUCAUGCCCCUUAUGUCCAGGGCUUCACGCAUGCCACAAUGGCUGGUACAGAGAGUGGCGAGCCUGUGAGGGUGUGCGAAUCUCGGAAAGCCGGUCUCAGUUCGGAUUGGGGUCUGCAACUCGACCUCAUGAAGUCGGAGUCGCUAGUAAUCGCAGAUCAGCAACGCUGCGGUGAAAACGUUCCCGGGGCU